CGCCGAAGGUGGGGCUGAUGACUGGGGUGAAGUCGUAACAAGGUAGCCGUACCGGAAGGUGCGGCUGGAUCACCUCCUAACAGGGAGACAAAACUGAUUAUGAUGUCUGAUUAAAUAUUAGGCCUUAAUCCUGUCACCUUAGGUCGAUCGGUACCUCAGAUUGAGAGCUAGAGUAUAAGAUUUAGUUCUUUUAUUUACCUUUUAAUUUCAGUUCCUAAACUUGGUCCAGAACCUUUCAUUAAAGAUUUUAAUCCUUAGUGUGUU
rnacentral:misc_RNA from 1 species